AGCGAACGCUGGCGGCAGGCCUAACACAUGCAAGUCGAACGAACCCUUCGGGGUUAGUGGCGGACGGGUGAGUAACACGUGGGAACGUGCCUUUAGGUUCGGAAUAACUCAGGGAAACUUGUGCUAAUACCGAAUGUGCCCUUCGGGGGAAAGAUUUAUCGCCUUUAGAGCGGCCCGCGUCUGAUUAGCUAGUUGGUAAGGUAAUGGCUCACCAAGGCUACGAUCAGUAGCUGGUCUGAGAGGAUGACCAGCCACAUUGGGACUGGGACACGGCCCAAACUCCUACGGGAGGCAGCAGUGGGGAAUCUUGCGCAAUGGGCGAAAGCCUGACGCAGCCAUGCCGCGUGGAUGAUGGAGGUCUUAGGAUUGUAAAAUCCUUUCACCGGUGAAGAUAAUGGCUGUAGCCGGAGAAGAAGCCCCGGCUAACUUCGUGCCAGCCGCCGCCGUAACAC
rnacentral:rRNA from 1 species